GCGAAUAACAGGUGAGACCAGGAGUUGUGGCCAAACAAAAAGCUUUCACGGAUCUGUGCGAUGCCAGAGGCUACAAGGAGAUCGGGCAAUGCCAGUUUGUCGAUACACCUACCACUGACUUGGCAUUCAGCAAUCUGGAUGUAACAAAACCCGAGGCUCAAUAGACUGAAGCUUUAGACCUUUUGUAUUGGAAGUAUAUAUCAUUUCUGAAGAAAGUGUCCAUACGAAGAGCGGUCAUAUAAAAUAGGAAUUCGGACAGCGAUGGGCGGAGUGUAAUGAGAGAGUACAUGUAAAAGGGGCUUUAUUUAGGACUUAACCUGAAGAAUCCGAAGAAAUCUGUUUAAAGGCUUGGAGUGAAGUCGCCGUUCGGAACAGAAAAUAGUUUUGUGGAAACAGUGGGAACAAAAACCGGUUUUUAGUAACAUUGGGAAGAAGAAUCUUUAGAACAAAAAGCUGAUUCAUCAGCUGGAUCAGAAGGCUACCUUGAAGGCUCAGGAAAAAGAUUGGUCCUCGCAAGAAAAAGUCUCCUUGAACCAAAAGACGGUUUGAUGGGAGAAGGAAGUUUUCCUGGUCAUCAGCGUCACCACAAUUUAUACCAGUUAUAGUCUGAUAGCUGCGGAUCACAAGAAUUCAAGCAUGUCGAGGUUCGACACGAUCAGUUCCACGUCUCGGAAGCCGGUAAUAGUUCACGUCGAUUAUUGUUAUUCCUGACAGAACUAUGGAGGUAAAUUUACUGAUCUAAAACUGGCUGUGAUAGAGAAAUUUCCUCAUGCCGAUGUGUCGGGAACAUUCGGCGAAAAGGAUUCCUUUGAAGUGUUUGUUAAUGGACACUUGAUAUUUUCUCGCCUGUAUACCAACGCCUUUCCCGACCACGACAGCGUUAUAGAGCAGAUCAUGGACCUCACUACAGAUCAGGCAGCAAAGACCACGCGAUCGUCUAGCUGUAUUCUACUCUAGACGGAAGAAACCAGGCAAGACUGAACCAGAAACAGCCCACGGUACCAAGGUCACUCAAACCGAUGUUGGCAUCCUUUCAGGACGCUGGGGCAGUGUAGUUUAAAGUGAAUUUAGAGGGAUUCGGAUAUUUUCUCUAUGAAGUCAUACGGCAAAAGGGCAGUCUGGCGUAUGACAGAUGACAUGAAAAUAACCGAUCACCUUUGGGAUUUUUAAACAGCACUGGACAUGAAGCUAUAUAAAGUAUAUCUAUGAAACAACUUGUCUGUAAAGGUUAACCCAGAUCUGGAGAUUGCGACAUAUCUGCUUUCGUAUUCUUUAAUUAUCCUGAUAUUUAGUGUUUCUAAUCUUUUUUUAUACUGAUGUUCCUGGCAGGUCUACUGUCACAGGCCUAUCUCAAUUUGCUCAACAAAAGUGGAAUAUUUUAGUCUAUAUCAGUGGGAUCUGUUUCUUUAACCACUUCGAUGCGCCAAACAGUAAAUACCCUCUACAUAAUAUUAGCAUCGAAUCAUUCACCGAGAAGAUACCUUCACGAUGGUAUCAUGUAGAAUAGAGGCAUGAAUACCUGGCACCGCGUUCGUUACCUUAAAUCAAUAUCAGUAAAUAUAACAAAAAUAGGAAUGCAGAAAUGUCGAAUUAAAAUAUGGAGAGUUCAGCAUAACGAUACAUUACAAUAACCCUUUCUAAACUCGUGAACACAAUCGGAAGUAGGGACUGACACCUACUCCUACCUUGCCCGAUGAUGCUUCACUGUGAUUCUUGUUUAGGCAUGUUGAAAAAUGAAUUUGGCUCUUUGCGUCAGAUUCGUAUAACGGUUAACCACUCUAUUCAAAGAGUUUUCAUCGGAUUGCGCCAUGCAACUUUGGCCUACUUACUUUAGAUCAAGUUCGCGGCACGUCAGUAGGCCUAUAUUUAGUGACGGGCAACUAUAUCGGAUCGACUGGAUUUAUCUACAAAUGAACAUUUUCCCCAAUUUCCCCACAUAUUAAUUCAUCUUAAUAACUCGGUCACUGUAUGACCGUCAUACCCUGAUCAAUUCAAAGCGAAUUAUCUAUGAACUGACCAGUUGAAUACGCACACUUUGAAGCUCGCGAGUUUCCACGACAAUAAAGAGAUAUAGACUUGUCAGUGAUUGACUCCUGUGGCAUUGAAGUGAAGUGUGAAGUAAACCUGUCCCAUUUGGAAGCCUACGUUCUCUAAAAACGUGUAGCAGUCUAAUACUGAGCCUGCAUGUAUAAGUAUAUGCCUAUGUUUCAUUUGCAAUGAGUUCAUCAUCGUUUAUUUCCAUAUCACUGCAACCCAGUUACCAUUUACAUAACAAUCAUUCAACUUAAUGUGAUGAUAUAUACACAUGUAAUACAUGUUUUCACAGAGCCUUCACUCCGUAAAAUCAGUUUGCAAAACACGGAAUGAAGUUAUUCAUCAUUCAGUUUUGGCCUGUGCAUACGACUCUUUAUUCAAGAAGAACAAUAAAAAUAAUUUGACUGAUUGAGGUGUUUAUAGAACAUAGCUUUCAUUAUUAUUUUGGUCACAUUAACAAGGGGUUUCCUUGAUUGUAGCGGGUAUGGGUGUCUGCUGUAUGUUUAUUUACUGAUUGGUGUUUUUAAAACGUACUCAAGAAUAUUUCAUUUAUACAACGGCGGCCUGCAUUACGGUGGGAGGAAACCCGCCAGAGCCCAGGGGAAACCACGCGACCAUCCACGGGUUGAUGGCAGACAUUCCAACGUACCUUUAUCUCCCUGUGGCAGGGCAAGUCCAUGCCACCAAAGUGCUGCCACCACUGAAGUAUCAUGACGGGGACACUAUAUCUGACAACCCAUUCUGUCACACUAUACUGACACCAGGUCAAUCAGUCUAACCUUUGUUCUGACCU